UCUAGGACAGGCAUUUUGUGUUGUGUUUGUAUUUGUCGCGAUGGAGUGUGGAGUUCGAGCUACACUUGUUGUUCGCAACAAGUUGUAGUUUCUUGUACAAUAUUUCUGCCUUCUAUAAAAAUAUGGUACGCCUAGGCGUACUCUCGAAAAAAAACACAUGAAGACUUCCCUCAUAAUUUAGCAUCUGUAGUUUCUAGACAUUUGAGCAGUACAAGAUGAAACAAACACAAAGAGUAAAGCCUGUAAGUUCUGCGUGAGCUCACGGCAUAUGGUUAAGGCAAGGUAUCUUGACGAAUCUUACAGGAACAUUUUCAACCUGGACAGGAAAAACCAAAUGUCAAGUCAUGUAGUAUUAGAAAACAUUAUAUCCAUUACAUUUAUUACGAUACUCAGAAUCUACAAAAGUGCACCACCCCAACUUUUAGAAGAAAAAUGGCUACAUCAUCAAGAAAAUUUAUCGACAAAUUUCCCAUCAAGGCAUCAAGUGAAUAUUCGAUUUAAUAAGAAGCUAAAAAAUGUCCGCAGUUUCAAGCCUGGGCACAUGAAUUAAGCACAUCUAGUUGCCCUUCCUAGAAAGCAUGACAACAGUUUCAGGUCUGGACAAAUAAUUAAACCCAUAAUGGCAUGGUGAGAUUGUCUCUGAUAUUAAGUUUAGUUUUCUGAAAGUGAAGACUCAUCGAAAUCUGUUUGAAAACACUACACAUAAGACAAAAUGGGAACAACGUUCAAGAAAAAGGAAGUGUCAUCCACAACCUGUAUGAAUUUUUGACAUCAUAGGAUCUAGUAUUUUUGUAUGAGCAGACAAAGGCAACUAGUACAGCAAAUAAAAUUCAAACGUUUUUCCAGCAUUAACUAAGAAUUAUAGAAACUAAAAUGUUUGGUGUUAGGCUUAACUCAAAAGAACAUACAGAGCUUUCUUACAUGCAUAUAUCAUGAUAUUCAGGUGUGAGCUUCUGAGAUGUCAAAGGAAAUACAAGGACAUUUUCAAUGCUACUUUAUAUAGAGAGAAAAAGACAAGUCGGACACAAGAGAACCGUACAAAAUACCUCUUUCACCAAUCAGAUCAUAAAGUAGUAUCAUGAUUCCUGAAGAACACACACCAACAUGCAAAUUAGAUUGCAAGUAAAGAUCAACCUGUAACCAUUGCAGUGAUAGAUACAGAAAAUUAAUCAAGAAAUUCCAAUGUUUAGUAGAUACAACUCUACUGCAGAUUAAAAGUUUACUUCUCAAAUAAUGAUAUAGAUCUGUACCGAAGUGUAGUAUCUUCGACCUUCAAAUCUUACAACAUUGUAAGAGCAGUAUACUGUAAGUUUAAAAGCUAAAUCAUGUCCAGACUAUCAUCUUACAACACCGUUAUGUAUGGCCUUGUUAGAGUGUAAGAACUAGACAAGACAUUCAGGAUGUUUUGUCAGAUGGAAAUGGUACGGCCUUGCUCCAGUUUACGCAGCAAUACAAUAGCCUUCCCAAUUUUGUGAAAAAAUGAAUUAAUGAGGAAAGCUCUGCAGAAUGUACAAUAAAAUAAACUAAAUAACCAUCAUAAAUUCACAUUGUUGGCUGCUAUACACUAUCAGUUGAAGACAACAGACAAGAGCUCAAAAUGUCACCGAAGGCCGCUUAUCUAGUACACUAUAAUUAGAAUCCACCAUUAUAAGUUGGUACAAUUUAUAUUAAAACUUUGACAUCUUUGUACUGGAGCCUGUUAAUUGUAAAGCUCUUAUCAUUAUUAAGCAAAGAACACGAGCUUGUUAUUUGAUUAUAAUUUGACAUAUUGUAUACAAGCUUGUUGUUUAUACUUUGAUAUCUAGUUAAGCAAAGAACAGCAAACACUUCGACAUAUAGUUUAUUCACGUGAGAUCCAACACCAUGAAACUAAGUUGUUAAAUAAUCAUAUCAUUUGCGCAAGGCCUAUAAAUGAAGACCUUAAUUAAGUAGGACAUGAACCAGAAUGAUCAGAAUAUCUACACACAUACGUUUUGACUAGUACAGAAUUAGCAAAUAUCCCAAUUUCCUUCCAUUCACAAGACUUCGAGUUAGCUACUCGGUUUGUCUCGAUGGUGUCCCCUUUUAUUUCAUCAUUCUUUUCUGGAAAACCUUAUAAGUGGUUAGCUACUCAGUCUGUCUCAAUGGUGUUAACUAUGUACGCAGUUUAAGUUCAAUCAAAAUGGACCCUGAGAGUGGCCCUGUUUUUCUAAAAUGAACCAAAACAAUAGGGCUUUAGAACAACAGAAAAUAACAUACUUUACAUAUAUUAUUACCUUAAUUUAGGUUCAGUUUAAAUGUCCCGAUGCUCCAAUUUCUCCUUUGGAUUGAAGAUCUAACACAAGGUUACCUUUCUUGUAUUGACAUCUCAAACUGAAAACAAUUUAACACAUCAAUAUGCCUUGUUGAACAUUUAUCUAGUUGCAUUAAGCCUAGCACAUUAAGGAUAAAUUUCUAUACUUCAUAUGUGUGCGACUCUCCUGUUCCUAAAAAAACUCCCAUGUCAGGAUAAUCUUCCUAGUACAACAGCUUGCUGCAUUUCCUUGAAAGAUUAAAUACCAACCAUCAUUAUGAAGUUUCAGAGAUGAACACAAAAUCCUUAAUUUGGUUUGUUAUAAACUAUAACCGAAGGAUAUAAGCAUAAACACAGCAGUCAGUUAGCAUAUGCUAAAUAGUAACGGGAGAGGGAUAAGUGAUAUUCAGAUUCUUCCAUGCUUGUCAAAUUCGAAGGGAUAAGUGAAUGUACCAAAGACUGUAAUUCGUACAGUAGGAAUGUCAACUGAAAACAGAAAUAGAUGAGUAUGGCAGGUAGGAAUCAUCAAUUUUAUCCUUCCCUAGAUCACAGGAAGCAAACAUUAGUUGGGCUCAUAUAACCAGCAACAUGGAGAGACAACAUAACCCUUACGACUGCUCAACCAUGGGAGGCGGAACCUUGCUCAAUUUUCCUUCGCAUCUGCGAGUCGCUUGGGGAUCCUGCAAGCCGAGAAUACAAUGUUGGUAGCCAUGUGCUACAGCGAGGGCGGAUGGGAAAGAGGCCAAGACUGCUGUACGGGGAGGUAAGAUAGCCAAAUCAAAACUAAACCUAACUGGAUUA
rnacentral:lncRNA from 1 species